AGCGGCAAAAGCUCAAAUUUGAAAUCUGGUACCUUCGGUGCCCGAGUUUGUAAUUUGGAGAGGGCAACUUUGGGGCCGUUCCUUGUCUAUGUUCCUUGGAACAGGACGUCAUAGAGGGUGAGAAUCCCGUGUGGCGAGGAGUGCGGUUCUUUGUAAAGUGCCUUCGAAGAGUCGAGUUGUUUGGGAAUGCAGCUCUAAGUGGG
rnacentral:rRNA from 1 species